rnacentral:rRNA from 1 species
AGUGGCGCACGGGUGAGUAACACGUAGGUAACCUACCCUCGAGCGGGGGAUAACSUUCCGAAAGGAASGCUAAUACCGSAUAAGACCGCGCUGGCUCGGGCCAGUGUGGUCAAAGAUGGCCUCUGUACACACGCUAUCACUCGAGGAUGGGCCCGCGYCCCAUCAGCUAGUUGGUGAGGUAACGGCCCACCAAGGCUAAGACGSGUAGCUGGUCUGAGAGGAUGAUCAGCCACACUGGCACUGAGACACGGYCCAGACUCCUACGGGAGGCAGCAGUGGGGAAUAUUGGGCAAUGGGCGCAAGCCUGAACCAGCCACGCCGCGUGAGUGAUGAAGGCCUUCGGGUCGUAAAGCACUGUGGGGAGAGAAGAAAACGGUUGGUAAGAAACGACCAAUCCUUGACGGUAUCUCCUUAGCAAGCACCGGCUAACUCYGUGCCAGCAGCCGCGGUAAUACRGAGGGUGCAAACGUUGCUCGGAAUUACUGGGCGUAAAGCGCGUGUAGGCGGGACCGCAAGUCAGAUGUGAAAUCCCCGAGCUCAACUCGGGAACUGCAUCUGAAACUGCGGACCUUGAGUGCCGGAGAGGGUGGBGGAAUUCCUGGUGUAGAGGUGAAAUUCGUAGAUAUCAGGAGGAACACCGGUGGCGAAGGCGGCCACCUGGACAGCUACUGACGCUGAGACGCGAAAGCGUGGGGAGCAAACAGGAUUAGAUACCCUGGUAGUCCACGCCGUAAAC